UAUCACGAGAACUGCAGCCUCCGAGGUGCAAGGCGGAGGGAGAGUCUGGAGUGGAGGGCACACCUCUUCUUACCCAAGAGCAUGGGGCUACUUUUGGCCUGGGUACUUUUAUGAGAAAGCUUCCCACUCUCUGAAAAGAAAUGGAGUUCCUGAUGUGACAAGCUGUUUGCUCCAGCUAGCACCCUCCUGGACCAGGACUCUAAACCCUGGCAGCACCCAGGGAGAGAUUCCAGUCCAAAGCACUGUCGUUUCCCUCCUGGACUGAGCAAGAGCCGCUGAGCUCAUCUUUCCCUGCUUCAGCUUUGACACUCUGCAAUUGCACUGAGCCUGCUGAAGUCAGAGUAGCCCAAAAAUGAAAUACGGGUAUGUCCUGUGACAUGCUUCCUGCUGACUCUCUGUUGCUACAGGACAAAGGCAGAGCUGCUGCUGUGGCCUGGAAGAUGGCCGUGGUCUGCCAAGUCUUACGUUCAACCUCUCACAUCACCCCAGCACCGCAGCUGUGUCUCUCCGGUUGUUCCCACCUCCACACCUUUACACACACUGGAAGCUCCACCUGGAAGCUGACUUCUUCCUCCUAUUUUAAAACCCUGCAGGAUGUCCUCCCUGGAUGCUUCCAUCCUUGAUUCCCCCGAGGAGAAUCAGGUGGACCCUUUUCUGUCCUCUUACACCAGUUUGCAUAGAACUUCUGAAAACAUUAAGCAAAGGAUCACUGAAGUAUGUGUCUUGCCCGUGUAUCUGUCUCGGCAAUAGCACGCUUGGCUAGGCCUUUAUUCUGCUCCACCAACCAAACUCCAUCCCUGCCCUGGGCUGUUGCAACAUCCUUACAAAUAAAGAAUAUUUUCUGGAAAAAUGGAAUAACUUUUGACUGAAAUGCUUAAACAUUUCCGCUGGACCCAAUGAAAUAAGCAGUCUCAUGACUUCGAGGACAGCCUGGACUAGGAUGCCAAUUUGCUCCAGUUAUGUAACUGAUGUACUGCUGUGCUUAG